ensembl:misc_RNA Y_RNA Y RNA
GAGUUGUCCGAGUGCAGCGGUAUUUACAACAAAUUGGUCACCACCAGUAAUAGAUGUCUUUGUUCUUUCUCUCCUCCCUCUGCUUCACUUGACUAGCCUUAA